rnacentral:rRNA from 1 species
GAUGAACGCUGGCGGCGUGCCUAAUACAUGCAAGUCGAGCGAACGGACGAGAAGCUUGCUUUUCUGAUGUUAGCGGCGGACGGGAGAGUAACACGUGGAUAACCUACCUAUAAGACUGGGAUAAUUACGGGAAACCGGAGCUAAUACCGGAUAAUAUUUUGAACCGCAUGGUGCAAAAGUGAAAGACGGUCUUGCUGUCACUUAUAGAUGGAUCCGCGCUGCAUUAGCUAGUUGGUAAGGUAACGGCUUACCAAGGCGACGAUGCAUAGCCGACCUGAGAGGGUGGUCGGCCACACGGGAACUGGGCCGCGGUCCAGACUCCUGCGAGAGGCAGCAGUAGGGAAUCGUCCGCAAUGGGCGAGAGCCUUACGGAGCAACGCCGCGUGAGUUAUGAAGGUCUUCGGAUCGUGAAACUCUGUUAUUAGGGGAGAACAUAUGUGUAAGUAACUGUGCACAUCUUGACGGUACCUAAUCAGAAAGCCACGGCUAACUACGUG